AAACACAAAGGUUUGGUCCUAGCCUUCCUAUUAGUCCUAAGUAAGCUUACACAUGCAAGCCUCCACGCCCCAGUGAGAAUGCCCUCAAAAUCACUAACGAUUCAAAGGAGCAGAUAUCAAGCACACUCUAAAGUAGCUCAUGACACCUUGCUAAGCCACACCCCCACGGGACACAGCAGUGAUAAAAAUUAAGCUAUGAAUGAAAGUUCGACUAAGCUCUACUAAAGAGGGCUGGUAAAUUUCGUGCCAGCCACCGCGGUCAUACGAUUAACCCCAAACUAACAGGCCCAUGGUGUAAAGCGUGUUUAAGAUUAUAUAGUACUAAAGUUAAAACUUAACUAAGCCAUAAAAAGGUACAGUUACCAUAAAAUAAACUACAAAAGUGACUUUAAAACUUCUGACUAGAAAAAAAAAAAUACAACUUCUGACUACACGAUAGCUAAGAUCCAAACUGGGAUUAGAUACCCCACUAUGCUUAGCCCUAAACGUAAACUGCAAACUAUUCCAUAAUAAAAUAAUUCGCCCAAGAACUACUAGCAACAGCUUAAAACUCAAAGGACUUGGUGGUGCUUUCUACCCCUCUAGAGGAGCCUGUUCUAUAAUUGAUAAAUCCUGAUAAACCUCACCAUCUCUUGCUAAUGAAGUCUAUGUACUGCCAUCUUCAGCAAACCCCCAAAAGGAAGAGUAGUAAGCACAAUGAUGUCACAUAAAAAAGUUAGGUCAAGGUGUAACUCAUGAGAUGGGAAGAAAUGGGCUACAUUUUCUACUUUAAGAACAACUUACAAAAGUUUUUAUGAAAUUAAAAACCAAAAGAGGAUUUAGUAGUAAAUUAAGAAUAGAGAGCUUAAUUGAAUAGGGCCAUGAAGCAUGCACACACCACCCGUCACCCUCCUCAAGUAAAAACUUCACACACAAUCAUAUUAACAAUACCAAAACACGAGAGGAGAUAAGUCGUUUAACAAGGUAAGCACACCGGUAGGUGUGCUUGGAUUAAUCAAAGU
rnacentral:ncRNA from 1 species